GGCCUCCGUGGUUUAGUCCGAAGAACACCCGACUAUGGUGCGGUGGGAUUCGGGUACCGGAUUCGGCACCGGGUUCGAGCCUCGAUGGAGUCA